UCUGUUUAACCCAGCCAGAAACCGAGCCAUCGUAGCUUCUCUUCUUCUUCGACAUUAGCCCUUAUCAUAGCAACCUCCAUUUCUUUAUGAUAAUCCUCUACACUUUUUGAACCUUGUGUAAAGCUCUGUAAUUUUUGAUAAAGGUCCCUGUAAUAAUGACUAGGUAUAAACCUUUACCUCAUUAGGGCCUUUAUUUCCCUCCAAGUUUCUACAGGUCUCUCAUGAUUCCUCCUCGAUUUGACACCAAUUGAUCCCACCAUAUGAUUGCAUAAUUCCUCCUCCUUUUCUUCUGAGUAGUUAUGACAAUCAAAAAU
rnacentral:lncRNA from 1 species